GGAGAAAGAGAGUGUGAAAAUAUAAAUCUCUUUUGUGUUUGUUUGACAAUUCGUGUGACAUAAGUAAUAAGAAGCUGAACCAGCAAAAAGUUAACCAAUUUAGACCAAAACUACACUGCGGUUUAUAUUAAAACCGUUAAUACAUAUUUAAUAUACCAGAUUAUUCUAUUUCAGUAAAGUCGAAAAGGAGAUUUUAUGACGCGACGACAGCGGAGCUAUUGCGAUCACCGUCACUCACUCUCGUCGACGUUUUGGUGGAUGCCAGGUGAUUUCAUAAGCAAGAGAAGUUGAAACAGCGGGCUUUCGUGCAUUACAAAUCAUCGGCUCGGGUUACUUGAAGAAUCAGAGAAGAACCGAAGCAGUAUGUCAUAAGCGCCUCUAUCUCAACAAUCUACCAUGACAUUAUCAUCCAAUAGAGAGAUCGUAAUUAAGGGAACCAAGAGUUACAGAAACUAGUCAACUUCUUUCUUACAUCAGGUAACAACAACAUAUCCACAUACUAUUAUUUUCAUAUCACUUCUUCUUCUACAGUAUCCUUAUUAUUAAAACUGUCCCAUCUUGAAUCCAGAUUCAUAAACAAUCUAACUGGAUCUACUUGCUUGCCCUUAGCUGGACCAAGUAUCUUGACAAACCACUUCGGCUUGAAUGAAGCAAUAACGUGUGCCAUUACCAAUCCAAGUAACAGUCCAGGCCAAUACCCGAAAAACACUGCUUUCCACUCAAUCACUUCGUCCUCUUCUUCUUCUUCGUCUUCUUCCUUGGGAUAUUUUGUUGGUGGCGCAACGCAACUUCCUUGGAGAGGAAGACCACAGAGACCUACAUUCCCUUCAAAUGAUGAUUCAGCUUGCCCACUAAACUGUGGUCCCUGUGGUAUUUCACCUUUGAGUUGGUUAUGAGCUACACUUAUGUACGCCAGAAAUGAGAGGCUCCCGAGUUCUCUUGGAAUAUUCCCUGAUAGUUGAUUUCUUGACAGGUCUAGUGACUCGAGCUCCGUAACAUUUGCCAAAGACAUAGGAAUAUGGCCAGUGAAGGCGUUGUUCGAUAAGUUGAGCGCUAUCAAUUCCUUCAACAGACCAAUAGACUCAGGAAUCUGUCCUUCAAGUUUGUUUCCAGAGAAAUCAAUGGUGCUGUAGAAAGUAAGGACUUUCCCCUGCUCCAUGAAUAGACCUUUGUAUUGCAAAUCCAUUGUAUCUUCAUAGAUAUAAUAAGCAUUCUUGUAGUCUCCCAUAUAAAUACGCCCAUCUUCAUUUAUCUUGGGUGAUGAUGCUUUCCAGUUAACAAAGAAAUUUGGUGGCAAGCUUCCAGUAAAGCUGUUAUCUGACAAUUCAAGUAUCCGCAGCUCGGGAAACGCGAGAGGACCUCGAUCAGGAGGAGAGAGAUGGCCGAAGAAUCUGUUUGAACGGAGAGUCAAGACAUGCAAAUUGGGUAGCGCCUUCAGCCAGAAAGGAAACGUGUCUUCAAUUCUGUUGUUGUCAACACUCAGAAACCUCAGAGAGGAGCAAUUCAAAAGUGAUUUUGGAAGCUUCCCGGUUAGUCGAUUAUAGCCAACGUCAAGCGUCUGUGUCUUAGCACCGCUAUGGAACUCGUCAGGUAUACUUCCUUCCAAGCUGUUCUUCCUGAGGUUUACUACUUUUAAGUUACUCAGACAUUGAGGAAUUGGACCGGUGAAUUUGUUGUAGGAUAGAUCAAGGACGAUGAGAGAGCUUCGGUUGCAGAUUGAGAGAGGUAUGUUCCCUGUGAAACUAUUGUUCCACGCAGACAAGUAGAUCGAACCGAGUGGUGGAGUAGGAAACGCUCCUGUCAUGGAGUUAUAGGCAAAAUCUAGUAACUGCACUGAUGAGUUAAGUAAAACUUCUGAAGAACCUUCGAAACCAGUCAAAGAAUUGUUAACAAGAUUUGCUAUGCUAAGACGAGGAAGCUUCCAAAACCACUCAGGUACUUUCCCUUUGAUUAGAUUGUUGGAAAUGUCUAUAUGCUCCAAGUUUUGAAGGGUCUUAAAGAUGUUUGGAAACUCGAUAAUGUCGCACUGGAUCAAAAUCAAGCUUAUUAAGCUCAAUGGAAACUCUGAAUCUGAACUUAAACUGGCUGGUAAUAACCUAUUUUGACGAAUAUCAAAGACCAACAAAGAUUUGAGAGGAGCGAAGACGCGUAAGUCAAUUGGGUGACUUAUGUUUAGGGAAGCAAGUUCAAGAUGGUUGAGGUUUAUGAGCUUUGAGAUAGGCUCUAUGAUUUUUCCUUCAAAUUGGUUAAACCCAAGGGACAAACGAACUAGCUUAGAUGAAGAAGAAGAGUUUGGGACAUCAAUAGAACCAGUGAGAUGAUUCUUUUUCAGAUCAAGAUAAGACAAGAAAGGCAAAGUGGGUAGUAAAUCAAAAGGUAUGGCUCCUGAGAAUUGAUUGUAAGAAAGGUCUAAAAAGGAAAGCUUUGUUAGGUUUCUUACAGGUGGGAAACUACCAGUGAGCUCAUUAUGGGAAAGGUUUAAAUGGGUAAGCAAGAUAAGGUUACUAAUUGAGGAAGGAACUUGACCAGUAAAGCUACUAGAGGCAAGAGACAAAACCUCUAAUCUGGUGAGAUUGCUGAAUUCAGAAGGGAGUGAAGAGGAAGUGAAGUUGUUGUGAGAGAGAUUAAGGUAACGAAGCUGAUGCAACUCAAAGAGACUACUGUUUGGUUUGAGAGUUCCAGUGAAGCAACCACUUGGGAGCUGAAGCUUCGUGACCGCACCAGUCGUGUUAUCACACUGGACUCCGUUUAAGUAGUCACUGCGGUUGCAGCCGUCAGAUUCAAACUCAUUCUUGAAUUGGAUUAGAGCUUGGAUCUGGUCAGGAAGACAAGCAAGAGCGUCGGUCGUCAAGAAGCUUGAAACGAAGACGAUACAGUAGAGUAAGAGUAGCGAGCAAAAAUGCAAACGCAUGGUGUUUGUGAUUGAACCAACAAGUUGAGGAAAUUAUUGAACCCAAAAAAAGACAUAUCAAAGAUUUGCUAUAUAUAUGUUAUUUUAAGCCGCCUUUACUAAAUAUGUGGGGUUUAAAUGUCACGUGAAAUGUCUACGAGUCACAUUUGUUCAUGAAGUAAAUUCCACGUGGACAUCUCUGACUAUA
rnacentral:lncRNA from 1 species